CUUCUUAUUGGUUUGAUUUACAACACCGGCCACAUUUGUAGGGGAACCGAGAUGGUGCACAUUUGGAACCGAGCGCGGAGGAGAUAGUAUUGGAAGAGCCUCAAGGGUAGAACGGGGGGAAUAACGAGACAUUACUGUUAAGUCAGAGGUUUCAUGACGAGAUGGUGGGCCAAUCACACUCUCGGCCGCUAACUUUCCCUUGGAGUUUUGUGAGCUUGGAAGCAUGGAAGACUGAUCAAAUUUACUUGAAUAUUGUUUACUUGGG
rnacentral:misc_RNA from 1 species